CCUACGGGUGGCUGCAGUGAGGAAUAUUGGUCAAUGGGCGCGAGCCUGAACCAGCCAAGUAGCGUGAAGGAUGACUGCCCUACGGAUUGUAAACUUCUUUUAUAAGGGAAUAAAACGAGGCACGUGUGCCUUUUUGCAUGUACUUUAUGAAUAAGGAUCGGCUAACUCCGUGCCAGCAGCCGCGGUAAUACGGAGGAUCCGAGCGUUAUCCGGAGUUAUUGGGUUUAAAGGGAGCGUAGAUGGGUUUUUAAGUCAGUUGUGAAAGUUUGCGGCUCAACCGUAAAAUUGCAAUUGAUACUGGCAGGCUUGAGUAGAGUUGAGGGAGGCGGAAUUCGGGGUGUAGCGGUGAAAUGCUUAGAUAUCACGAAGAACCCCGAUUGCGAAGGCAGCUUACUAAGCCGUGACUGACAUUGAUGCUCGAAAGUGUGGGUAUCAAACAGGAUUAGAUACCCUUGUAGUC
rnacentral:rRNA from 1 species